rnacentral:rRNA from 1 species
UACGAGUGCCUCAAGCGUUAUCCGGAAUCAUUGGGCGUAAAGGAUGUGUAGGUGGCUCUGUUAGUCUCACGUUAAAUUUUGCGGCUUAACCGUAAACCUGCGUGGGAAACGGCAGAACUUGAGGGUGCAAGGGGUCUCUGGAACUCUAGGUGUAGCGGUGAAAUGCGUUGAUAUCUAGGGGAACACCAAAAGCGAAGGCAAGAGACUGGGGCAUUCCUGACACUGAAACAUGAAAGCGUGGGUAGCGAAUGGG